UAGCUCAGUUGGUAAAGAAUCUGCCUGCAAUGCAGGAGACCCAGGUUCAAUUCCUGG
rfam:TPA: Bos taurus chromosome 6, whole genome shotgun sequence.